rnacentral:ncRNA from 2 species
UAGUGCGCCCCGCUCGAUGGUGCCCGGCGGUGAUGAGCUGGCGGGCCGCCAAGAGGGAAUCCGGUGGGGACGCCGCCCAAGCGUCCGAGUCCGGAGCUGCCCCCGCAACUGUAAGCGACGAGCGGGUGUCCUGAACCUGUGGUCACUGGCGCCGGAAACAGCGCCGGGAAGGCCGGACACCCGCACCGACUCGCGAAGCCAGGAGACCUGCCGUCGAGCGCCGUAUGUU